CAAAAGGGGAUGAAGCGUGCGAGGAGCCCCGCGGGCGGCGCGGGGGAGGAUGCAGGGCCGUGCCGUGCCGGGGAGCUCGCCCAGGGCUGCCGGGUUGCUACAGCAACCGGGGCUUUGUUUGUACAUAGCGGGAGCAGCUGCCUCCCUCCCGCCUCCCUCCCGCCCGGCUGGGCUGCGGCAGGGCCGGGCCGGCCGCUCCCUCCGCCGCGGGGCCGCUGCGGCCCUAAGGACACGAACGGUGCUCCGAGAGAUCAAGUCCCACUGAAAGAAAAAGGCUGCCACCUGAAACAGUAGCACUCUCUCUGUGCUGCUACUGCUGAUGGUGGGACAGACGAGAAGUUAUGUGGCAAUAUCCUUAUGACAUGACAGAGAACCCUCCAAACAAGCCUGUUGUGAUACAACACUAAUUCAGUAACAUCAAGUUUCUAAUUUGUCACUUUUCCAGACAUGAUGUUUUAUUUCAAGUUUUACUGAAGCCCAAGAGAUGAGUGCCAUCCUGUCAGUCACAACUCCAGGAAAGUCCUUGAAAAGUUAGUGGCUUCUUUUGAGGAAAAGCAGAGCCUCGGGAAGGGGGUUCUACUUAAGUGAAGGGCUUUCUGAUGUAAGGUCCAUCUCAAUCUACUCUGUAGGGGUUUUCAUUGAGGUGAAUGACAGUACAUUUAUAGUCAAUAUUUUAAUAAAUCUAUCUAGAAAGUAACAGAAGAAAAGAAAGUUCCUAUAAACAAAAAAGGGUGUAUAUUAAACAAUUCUUAUGUUGGAAACAUUUUGCAAAUUUCACUGAAGUUCUGUGCUUCCAUCCAUCCUCCUUUCCCAUACUCUCAUCUCAAAGAGAUGUUCAAAAGUUUUCAACUCUCAUUAGUUUGUUUCUGUUUACCUUUUUAACACAUUAUUCCCAUUGUAAUUAUAAAUGUGUGACUGUGAUACACUUACUGCUAAUAACAUUAUUUUUUAGCUAUUCAAAUUCACAAGGCGAUUGCUUGCCUUAUAAAAGAUUUCUUACAUGACACCAAGUAAACAGUGCAAGUCUUCAAACUUUUAAAUAUGUCCAUCUUUGAACAAGAAACAUAUCUGGAAAUUUCAUUAUUCUUCUGCUGUCUUUCAAUCAUGUUGAACUUUCACUAUCACUUGCCUAUUUAGUAGCUAGUGCAGUAUUACUGUCAAAAAAAUCUACACCUCACUACAUAAAAACUUGGAGUAGCAACACCAACUUAGCUUAUAGAUAAAUUAGGAGUAGCACUGUCUUUAUUUUUUCUCAAAAAAUAUAAAUAUUACAUGUGCUAAUAUGGGUUUAAGUAUAUGGAAGUAUAUGAACUGGAAUUAAUUGUAAGGGUUCACACCAGACUGAUGCUAAAAUUAUGCUAAAUAUUUAAAUCAAUGUACAUAUAUCAAAGUACUGUUUCUAAAUUAAAUUAAUUUUAAGCAUCAAGUGAUCCUUCUUACAGCUAAUAGGAAACCAGAAUUCUGGCCAGGAAAAAACACUUCAGCUUCAGCCUCCUCGACAGGUAGUAAACUGCUGCAUUGGAAAAGAUCUCACAGACUCUCCCUGAGGAUGCAUUUGCACUGGUUUGAUAGAUAUUUUGGACUUACAUAAACAAAAGAGAGAAAUUUGACAGCUAUAUUAAAUGCAGUCAUGACAACAAGGUAAGAGAGUAUUUCCUCUUCAAUAACUCUUCUGCAUAUUUUCUGUUUCCUCUAAAUCAAAGUCUGAAGUUCUGCUUUAUUUUGAAAAGGCAAUUAUUAUUGUUAACAGUAUUAACAAUCAUAAUAAUAAAUCUAGCCUAUUUUUUAGACAUUGCAAAGACAGCAAGAUUCUACAUUCUGCUUUCAGAGCCAUCUCACUGGUUCAGAAGAAGGUAAGAGAUAUAACUUCUAUAGCUGUACAAUAUGGAUACAGUCAACGAUAAAAACUAUUGCUUGAAAUAGGAAAA